rnacentral:rRNA from 1 species
UACGUAGGGGGCGAGCGUUGUCCGGAAUUAUUGGGCGUAAAGAGCUCGUAGGCGGUCCUUUAAGUCUGAUGUGAAAUCUCAGGGCUCAACCUUGAAACUGCAUCAGAUACUGGGGGACUUGAGGUAGGUAGGGGAAGGUGGAAUUCCUGGUGUAGCGGUGAAAUGCGCAGAUAUCAGGAGGAACACCCGUGGCGAAAGGCGGCCUUCUGGGCCUUACCUGACGCUGAGGAGCGAAAGCGUGGGGAGCGAACAGG